rnacentral:miRNA from 1 species
CCACCAUAGUGCUGGCACCAAGGCCUCUGCCCCGUAGGACACCGAGGCUUAUGAGUAGGAGCAGUGCCAAGGCGCCGGCACCAUCUUGGUGAU